UACGAAGGGGGCUAGCGUUGCUCGGAAUCACUGGGCGUAAAGCGCACGUAGGCGGCUUUUUAAGUCAGGGGUGAAAUCCUGGAGCUCAACUCCAGAACUGCCUUUGAUACUGAGAAGCUUGAGUCCGGGAGAGGUGAGUGGAACUGCGAGUGUAGAGGUGAAAUUCGUAGAUAUUCGCAAGAACACCAGUGGCGAAGGCGACUCGCUGGUCUUUUGCUGACGCUGAGACGCGAAAGCGUGGGGAGCAAACAGG
rnacentral:rRNA from 1 species